GGGGGGUGACCGUUGGGGGGUGACCGUUGGGGGGUGACCGUUGGGGUGCCGGCAGCAGCACCACGUCGUUCCUCAGCAGCGGCUGUGCCCGCCCCGGGCCGUAACCUUGGGCUCCCCGCUCCGCCCGGGGCGGCUCCCCCGGUCCCCCCUGGUUCCCCCCGGGUCCCCUCAGCCUCGGUCCCCGGCCCCGGAGCCCGACGUGUGGCUGUCGCUGUGUGCGUGGGGGCGCUUCCCCUCCUCAUCCUCGCUGCCAGCUGUGCAGCUCGCCGUAGUUCCUUCAGAGCAUCCGGAUUUUGUCAGGGCUGGGCGGUUUGACAAAUGUUUCUGUGGAGGAAAGGAUGUCAUCUACAAUGGGAAUUUCUACGGAGUAAUUUCUGAUUUUCAAAAAAAGGAAGAGUUUCCCAGCACAUCAGCCUAAUUAGGCUACUGUUUUUCCAUCCGGUCCAGAGCUACUUUGUAAGUUACUUGUUUACAAACUAGAAAUUAUAAGUGGAAUGGAAUUUGCAAAUUCUAUUCCAAUUCUAUUCCUUGCGCCCUCCUUCCUCUCUUUCUGUCUCUGAGUUUAAGCUUUCAGUCCACUAUUGUAUCGCUCUUUUAAUCAAUUCCCUAUAGAUUAACAAGUGUAUGACUUGGUUUCACAUACAUUAUCCCAUAAUUAGUAAAAAUAAAAGUGAUUAUGAGUAUGAGAGAACA
rnacentral:lncRNA from 1 species